GCGGAAGCUUGGAUCUUGAAGCAGGUGCAGGCGUGCAGCAGAAAGUGAAGGCAGCAAAAGAGAUUCUACUUCCCAUAAAAUGAAUGUGAUAAUUGGAAAGGGCCUGGAGUUGAAAAUUUGGAAUCCAUAAGCAAAAGCUGGAAAAGAUUAUUGUGGAAUGGACAACAUGCUACUGUCUU